rnacentral:rRNA from 1 species
GACGAACGCUGGCGGCGUGCCUAAUACAUGCAAGUUGAGCGAUGAAGAUUGGUGCUUGCACCAAUUUGAAGAGCAGCGAACGGGUGAGUAACGCGUGGGGAAUCUGCCUUUGAGCGGGGGACAACAUUUGGAAACGAAUGCUAAUACCGCAUAACAACUUUAAACAUAAGUUUUAAGUUUGAAAGAUGCAAUUGCAUCACUCAAAGAUGAUCCCGCGUUGUAUUAGCUAGUUGGUGAGGUAAAGGCUCACCAAGGCGUUGAUACAUAGCCGACCUGAGAGGGUGAUCGGCCACAUUGGGACUGAGACACGGCCCAAACUCCUACGGGAGGCAGCAGUAGGGAAUCUUCGGCAAUGGACGAAAGUCUGACCGAGCAACGCCGCGUGAGUGAAGAAGGUUUUCGGAUCGUAAAACUCUGUUGGUAGAGAAGAACGUUGGUGAGAGUGGAAAGCUCAUCAAGUGACGGUAACUACCCAGAAAGGGACGGCUAACUACGUG